GUUGUCGAAGCCGGUCAAAAAUAACCUUCUUGGUUAUCAACAAUUUACAACUGCAGAUAGUGGUGAAGGAUCGAAUCCACAGAGAAUUGAUUACCUAUUUAUUUUUCUCAACAAGACCAAUAAAAUAAACUGAAACAAUGAGAUAAACCAAAAAUAAGAUAAACUGAAAGCGGAAUAAAAAUAAAUUACAGUAAAGUAAAAUGGGGGGUUUGAGAUUGAUUUGAUUAAUAAACUACUAAAAGCAAUUAAAAUAAGCGAAUAAUAAAAUAAAAGAGAAAUAAAUAAUAAGAAAGCUCUAGUUAAAGUAUUGGAUCCACUUUAGUCGUUGGGAUUGAUCACAGACACUUUGUUCUUUUGGGUUGAUUCAAAAGAUUAGUUUAUAGAGAUGGAAGACGCUUCUCACCACCAUUAUCUCUCUUUAUGAUUAAACCAAUUAGGGAACGUCCUCUAAUUAAUUACUAAUUAACAAAUUGCCAAGGAACGUCCUUGGGCCUUAGGCAUCAAAACAAUUGUCAAUUGCAUUAAGAAAUAGAGAGACCCAAUCCUAGCUACCCAAACGUAUGGAGAUAAAGCUAGAUCAAACAAUUUCCUUGGGUUUUAUCCCAAGUGUUCUCAUGUAAGAAUAACCCAAGCAAUUACGGACUUAAAUUAUUCAAACUAACAAAUAAUUAUUUUGCAAUAAAAAGUCAACGUAGAUUUCAAUAACAAAAUAAUAUGAGAAUUACAUAUGAAAUUGCAUGAAUAUUGAAUUCCCAAAAUUAAACAAUAUUUGAUCAAGUCUCACAACCCAUUAAACAACUAAAUCUUCAACCAAUAUUCAACUAGAUGAAAGAAAUCAGCCACUCAUUGGCUGAAUUAAAAACAGAAAAAUAAAAUAAAAAAAAAGAAAAAGAAAAGAAAGAAGAACCGAAUUCUUCCUUGCGUCGGGCGGUGGAAGUGCCGAAUUGAAUUUGAAUUGUUCACUGAAGAGCCCUUUUUAUAAGUGCAGAUGCGCUCUAUUUUGGAAUUUCUGGCCACGUGUGGGAGUGGUCCACGUGAGGCGCUGGAGUGCUUCGGGAAUGGGCCAUGUGUGCGGUGAGCGGUCCACGUGAAGUGGGUUUUGCAGAAAUGGGCUGUCCGUGCGCUGGGAAGGGUGAAGUGGAGUGUGGGCCCUGCGCGGGAAUGGGACGCGUGCUUGGUUCCGGGAAUUCAUGAGGAGCUUUGGCGGGGCCCACGUGAAGUGCUUUAAUGCUGGUCUUGAUCCACUGGGGGGGAAUGGCAUUGAAGCGGUGACCAUGUGCAGGAACAGAGUGGGUCCAUGUGCUUGGCUUGGUUUGGCGGGCCCGUGUGCGUGAGUGGGCUGUGACGUGCGUGAAUUGACCCUUGCUUUGGUCCAUUACGUGAAUUGAGCUUUGCUUUGUCCAAUGCGUCGACGAGAAUGGGUUGCCCAUUGCGUGAAGUGCUUGAAUAUUUAAAUUUCCAAAUAUUUUCUUCAUUCAGCUCAUUUUUAAAUCCAAUUUGGUGGACUUGCUCUCUUUUGCUCCAAAUAAGGCUGUUUUAGGGGGAUUUUCUCCAAAUUGUCCUUUUACACCAUUUUCUGCAAAAUAAUAUUAAAAGCACUAAAUUAAGCAGAAAUCAUGUAAAUAUUCAUCAAUAAUAUUAAUAUAAAAUGGACUAAAUUAUGCUCUAUCAAAUACCCCCACACUUAGCCUUUUGCUUGUCCUCAAGCAAAUAAACUUAGUCAAAUAAGCUUCCUUUCUCUAGAUCCUUAUUUCCACUUAAGCUCUUACUCUAGACCCCUAUUUUGAAUCAUUGCAGUGAAGGAUAUAUGCAUGAAGAUUACUCACCUUUCUCCUUGUUUCCCUUUACUUACCAUGGCUAGGUUUUGUUUUCCUCAAAAGAGACCAUGCACAUUAUAUGUUAAGACUUUUUCUAGCUUUUGGUGUGACUUGCCCUUACCUUGAAGUACUUUAUUCAGGCUUUUGCACUUUAAAUCUUGCUUGGAAAGGUCACCAACCUAUUUUUGAUAUACUUUUAGAUAUUUCAGUUGGUCACCUAUCUAAGUGGCUACUAGCCUUGUUCAUAGUCUUUUGACCAUUGGAACAGAUUUUUUUUUUUUUGGGCUUUGAGGGCUUUGCCUUUGCUGAAUUUUCUUUCUCUCAAUGAUUUGGGCAAAUCAACACCUAUUGCUAAAUCAAGUCAUGUUAAGUUCAUUCACACAAUUUUAAUUUUUGUCAUCUUCAAUCGAGUGUCAUCAGUAUAUUUUUCGCCAUUGGCAAGCUCCAAGAUUCAAUUCAAAAGGUAAUUCUCAAAUAUGAAUAUAGCUCACUGUAAUUGAUUCAACAUAAGUUUAAAGAGUUAUCACAUCAAUGGGGUCAUGGAAAGAAAAACUCAUCCAACAUAGUUCAUCAGUUUGAGUAGAGCAAAACAAAAAGAAGAAGAAGGUUGUGGUUGUGUGUGUUUUAUUGAAAGCAAAAACUAAAAAAAUGAAAAUUUUCACCUAAUGCAAGCAAACUAAAGACUAACGCAAAAAUAAAUUUAAAAGUAAAAAUUCAGAGAUAUGCACCCCCACACUUAAAUCAUGCAUUGUCCUCAAUGUAUAAGAAACAUAAAAGAAUAAAGGAAACUGAGUACUUCCCUGGGUGUGGUGUGCAUGGUGGGAUCCACUUGAUCAAUACUCAAGUAAUUGGGGAAGGGAAAAGCGUCCCAACUGCAUUGAGCAAAAAGUGUAGCACUCCUUUUGAUUUGGCCAUUGCCCAUCCUAUUCUUUUCAUGUACUCAUGAAGUAACAUGAUUAGCUUCUCCUCUUUCAGAUGAGGUGUGCCUCUAGCCCUUAUGUUUGCAUUUUUUAGAUGAUUGGGCAGAACUUUGAACUCCAAUUUAUGUUUCUCCAUGUGUAGCUGCAGAUUGGUACUAAAAUCUGGCAAAACAAACUCUACCUUAUCCGGAGGUUUGGGAAGGCAUUGAUCUGCAUGCUCCUUUGGUUUAGGUGCUUGGAACACCAUUUUUUCCUUGUGAGCAUUGGCUGUUUGUGUUGGAAGGCUGAAAGGAGUUUCAGAUUGCUCCUUAUGCGCAAGACCAGAAUAAAAGGGGAGCUGAAAAGCGGUCGGAUUCGGCGGCCGAAAGAGUUCUGAGUUCGACGGCCGAAAGCUGAUUGCGUCUUGCGUCUGAAAGGUAGUCUGGUUCGGCGGCCGAAGAAUGUCUGUAUUUGGCAGCCGAAAGUCUUCAGUUUGCGGAGCGGAUUGUGGCGAGGGAUUCGGCUUUCACAAGUCAGUAGGGUUCGGCGGCCGAAAAGUGUUCAGCGGCCGAAGAAUGUUUUCUGCCUGCGCAAUGUGUUCUUGAAGUGGCGCAUCAGACUCUGGCAUCUGGAGAUCAGCAGGGUUCGUCGACCGAAAGUAGACUGGAUUCGGCGGCCGAAUGUCUUCUGUCUGCGCAACCUCAACCUGUUGGACGCUGCAAUUGGUUUCUUUCAGUUUUGGUUCUUCCUGACUUUCAUCAUCUUCUUGGCUAGCUUCCCUGCAUGAAUCAUUGGUUAGAAUAUCAUCUUUUAUAUCAAAAUUAUCUUUGAUCAAACAAUCAAUGAUAUUUGAAUUAUCAACAAGUUCUGUUUGAUCCGUUUGUUUGGACAAACAGUAUUCUGGUUGUGUUUCUUCAGAGGCUUGUUCUUGUACUUGCCAACUUUCCUCAUCAUCCUCCACAUCUUGAAGUUCUUGCUCUCUUCUUAACAUGAGUGCAUUCAAUGAGAUGGCCAUUUGAUCCAUUUGUUGUUGCAUACUUUGCAAAGUAACUGCCAAUGUCCUCGUCUUAUCUUCAUUAAGGUGUAUAUUGGAACUUGGAGGUGCUGGUUGGGCUUGAUAUUCUUGAUAAUCCUGGUAGUUGUUAGCCUUAACAAAGCCAUAGUUCGGUUGGUCUCCCCAAUAUGGACUGUAUGUGUUAUAGUAUGGAUCAUGCCUUGGCUGUUCAUAGUAUCCUCCAAAUGUAUGUCUAGGCUGGUCAUACUCAUAACGUGUAGAACAUUGAUUAGUUGGACAUCCUACGUAUGCAUAAUUCCCACAUGGUGUUGGUAGCUGAGAUGCUUGAACCUGUUGCACUAUGUCUAUGGCAAGGUCUUUCAUAAAAGAUGUCAGAAAAGAAAAAUCAGAUCUACUUACCUUAUCCAUGAUUCAGAUCUUGGUCAUGAAAGAAAAUAAACAUACAAGUAAAAUCAAUUCCCCGGCAACGGCGCCAAUUUUUGACUCGCGGUUGUCGAAGCCGGUCAAAAAUAAUCUUCUUGGUUAUCAACAAUUUACAACUGCAGAUAGUGGUGAAGGAUCGAAUCCACAGAGAAUUGAUUACCUAUUUAUUUUUCUCAACAAGACCAAUAAAAUAAACUGAAACAAUGAGAUAAAUAAAAAAUGAGAUAAACUGAAAGCGGAAUAAAAAUAAAUUGCAGUAAAGUAAAAUGGGGGGUUUGAGAUUGAUUUGAUUAAUAAACUACUAAAAGCAAUUAAAAUAAGCGAAUAAUAAAAUAAAAGAGAAAUAAAUAAUAAGAAAGCUCUAGUUGAAGUAUUGGAUCCACUUUAGUCGUUGGGAUUGAUCACAGACACUUUGUUCUUUUGGGUUGAUUCAAUAGAUUAG
rnacentral:lncRNA from 1 species